UACGGAGGGGGCGAGCGUUAUUCGGAAUUAUUGGGCGUAAAGGGCGCGUAGGCGGCCCGGUAAGUCAAAGGUGAAAUCCCUCGGCUCAACUGAGGAAUUGCCUUUGAAACUGCCAGGCUUGAGGCCGGGAGGGGGUAGCGGAAUUCCCAGUGUAGCGGUGAAAUGCGUAGAUACUGGGAGGAACACCAGUGGCGAAGGCGGCUACCUGGACCGGUUCUGACGCUGAUGCGCGAAAGCGUGGGGAGCAAACAGG
rnacentral:rRNA from 1 species